UACGUAGGGGGCAAGCGUUGUCCGGAAUCAUUGGGCGUAAAGCGCGUGUAGGCGGCCAGGUAGGUCUGCUGUGAAAACUCGAGGCUCAACCUCGAGACGUCGGCGGAAACCAUCUGGCUAGAGUCCGGAAGAGGAGAGUGGAAUUCCUGGUGUAGCGGUGAAAUGCGCAGAUAUCAGGAAGAAUAUCCGUGGCGAAGGCGGCUCUCUGGGACGGUACUGACGCUGAGACGCGAAAGCGUGGGGAGCGAACAGG
rnacentral:rRNA from 1 species